AAAUCUGGAAAUUUGGCUAAGUGUGGAAAUCAGUGAGUUUUUGGCCAACUUUGAGCAGUCAUAACUCCUAGCUCAGGAUGAGUUAGGAGUAGUUCCAGUUAUGGUUUCGAAGCUUGUGGAACGAUCUUUCCAACGCCGCCGAGUUUGCUCGAUUCCGAGUUCGUAUGAGCGAGUUAUGAUCUUUGAAAGUUGGGCAGUUGGCAGG
rnacentral:lncRNA from 1 species